GGAAGGUUCUCUUGCUCAUGGUUGGGGUACAGGAGAGAAGGUUGAAAGAGAAUAUGGAUGAGCACUGAGAAAAACGCUAAACACAGAAUUCUUAAAAAACAAAAAAUCAAAAUUGUUUGGGGUGGAGUGAACAUCAUCGGUUCCAACUUCUAUCAUUUUAGAAACAGAAAUUCAUGGUUAAACAGGAUCAGAAUCAAUAGGUUCCAGAUGAAUGGUAGCAGGAUCUAUUGGUUCCAGAUUCAAUAGGAGCAGGAUAUAUUGGUUCCAGAUUCAAUAGGAGCAGGAUAUAAUGGUUCCAUAUCAAUAGGAGCAGGAUUUAUUGGUUCCAGGUUCAAUAAGAGCAGGAUAAAUUGUUCCCGAUCUUUAGGAGAAGGAUAUAUUGGUUCCAGGUUCAAUAGGAGCAGGAACUAUUGGUUUCAGAUUCAAUAGAAGCAGGAUUCAUUGAUUCCAGAUCAAUAAGAGCAGGAUACAUUGGUUCCAGAUCAAUAGGAGAAGGAUAUGUUGGCUCCAGGUUCAAUAGGAGCAGGAUAUAUUGGUUCCAGAUCAAUAUGAGAAGGAUAUAUUGGUUCCAGGUUUAAUAGGAGCAGGAACUAUUGGUUUCAGAUUCAAUAGAAGCAGGAUUCAUUGGUUCCAGAUCAAUAGGAGCAGGAUUCGUUGGUUCCAGAUCAAUAGGAGCAGGAUAAAUUGGUUCCAGAUCAAUAGGAGAAGGAUAUAUUGGUUCCAGGUUCAAUAGGAGCAGGAACUAUUGGUUUCAGAUUCAAUAGAAGCAGGAUUCAUUGGUUCCAGAUCAAUAAGAGCAGGAUACAUUGGUUCCAGAUCAAUAAGAGCAGGAUAUAGUGGUUCCAGAUUCAAUUGGAGCAGGAUUCAUUGUUUUCAGGUUCAAUAGGAGCAGAAUAUAUUGGUUUCUAGGACAGAAUCUUCUGGUUCCAGAAUAUAAAAGAAUAAGAAAUAAAAGAUAUAUUUUGGAAAAAUGCUGAUGUCAAGUUAGUGCCAUUAAACUUCUUAUUUACCGUUAUUUACCAUGAAAAUCAUCUGGAAAACAUAUCAGAUUCAAAGUAUGGUGUCUAUUCAUAGAAUAUUUUAAAUGAUCCUAAAAUGAUCUUAAGUUUUGUUGAGAAAAUAAAGAUGUUUUCCAGUUAUAUCUCUAUCAGUUAUACUGCACUGAUCCUCUACUUAGCUUUCCUUCUUCUUUUCCUACUCUCAAUCAUAACCCUCAUCAGCUGCAAGAUCUGUCUGAUAGGAGCAGACCCAGCCGACCGGCCAGCUAGUCAGAGAUAUAUCAGGAAAUAAAUAUAAAAUGCAAUAAAUAUCUUUUAAUUUGAUUUGUUUUGUGUUUUUAAGGAGGAUUUUUUUAACACAUUUUUAAAUAGUUCUAUAAGCUGCAUGCAUGGAAUUGCAUACAAAUAUUUGAACUUUUACAUUUUAUUUUCAUACUUAUUACAACGUGUUUAAAGUUGACCAAAAUUAGGACCAAAAACAACUAAUGUACGUUAACAACAAUUAAAAAAAAUCUAUUCAUUUUUUCACAUCUUUACAUUUAGGGUUCCUUACAGGCCAAAACUACAUUUAGGGUUCCUUACAGGCCAAAACUACAUUCAGGGUUCCUUACAGGCCAAAACUACAUUCAGGGUUCCUUACAGGCCAAAACUACAUUAAGGGUUCCUUACAGACCAAAACUACAUUCAGGGUUCCUUACAGGCCAAAACUAAAUUUAGGGUUCCUUCCAGGCCAAAACUACAGUUAGUGUUCCUUACAGACAGGCCAAAACUACAUUUAGGGUUCUUUACAGGCCAAAACUACAUUCAGUGUUCCUUACAGACAGGCCAAAACUACAUUUAGGGUUCUUUACAGGCCAAAACUACAUUCAGGGUUCCUUACAGGCCAAAAAUAAUUAUUCAGUGUUCCUUACAGACCAAAACUAAAUUCAGGGUUCCUUACAGGCCAAAACACCAUCAAAAUUGAAAGCAGAAACCAAAUGUCAAGUUUUAAAUCGUCGUAUCUUUUUUUGCUUUUAGUCGUCUUUAAAGUCUCAUCCAUUGUGGGUAUGUAUGGAACAUUUUUUUCUUCUUCUCUUUUUCAUGUCCUUUAUUUUUCCCCUAAUUAUAAAGAUGGAUUUAUUUCUAAAACCAGAGGACAGAAAAAGCAUACAUUUUCCUUCUGCUGACACAGUACACAAGAUGGCGCUGUAUCCUGUGACCUUUCUAGUGUGCUCCGGGUUCAUACUCUUAGUAUUAUUUUGCUCUAUAUGUAAGGUAUUUUUCCUGGAUAAACAAGAAAAAUUAACUCUUCGUCCUGCAUCCUCCGUACACAGCAGAGGUUAAAGAGAGAACAUGUGUAACCUCCGUACACAGCAGAGGUUAAACAGAGAACAUUUGUAACCUCCGUACACAGCAGAGGUUAAACAGAGAACUUUUUGUAACCUCCGUACACAGCAGAGGUUAAAUAGAGAACCUUUUGUAACCUCCGUACACAGCAGAGGUUAAAUAGAGAACAUUUGUAGCCUCCGUACACACCAGAGGUUAACGAGAGAAAAUUUGUAACCUCCGUACACAGCAGAGGUUAAAGAGAGAACAUUUUUAACCUCCGUACACAGCAGAGGUUAAAGAAAGAACAUUUUUAACCUCCGUACACUACAGAGGUUAAAGAAAGAACAUUUGUAACCUCCGUACACAGCAGAGGUUAAAGAGAGAACAUUUGUAACCUCCGUACACAGCAGAGGUUAAAUAGAGAACAGUUGGCAUCCUCCGUACACAGCAGAAGUUAUACAGAUGAUAUUUUGAACCUCCAUACAUAACAGAAGUUAGAGAGAGGACAUUUGGCAUCCUCCGUACACAGUUGAGGUUAAACAGAGGGUAUAUGGAGAAUAUUCUUUAACCUACGAGUCGUCUUGCUACUGUCACGUUACGUGGGACACCCUGUAGCAGAAGUUAAAAAGAGGACAUCUGGGACCCCGCGUACACACUUCACAGCAAAGGGUUUAAAGUAGAAAUAAUGAAGUAACCUACAGGGAUAACUAGAAAACUGUAGAGUAGGAAGACGACAUUAAAACAAAAUUGAAGUGCAUUUGUUGUUGCCACAGAGAAAAAACUUUACUACAGUGAAACCCUUAAUAACGAAUACAUCUGAAGAAUUGAUCAAAUGUCGUCUUGACAA